ACUUAUAUAGUAUAUUAUGUAUAUAUGACUUCCAAUCAUGAGGACUAAUUUUAAUUAGUAUAAGUA
rnacentral:tRNA from 1 species